UACGGAGGGCGCGAGCGUUACCCGGCUUUACUGGGCGUAAAGGGCGUGUAGGCGGCCUGGGGCGUCCCAUGUGAAAGGCCACGGCUCAACUGUGGAGGAGCGUGGGAUACGCUCAGGCUAGACGGUGGGAGAGGGUGGUGGAAUUCCCGGAGUAGCGGUGAAAUGCGCAGAUACCGGGAGGAACGCCGAUGGCGAAGGCAGGCACCUGGCUCUCUGGUGACGAGGAGGUGGGAAAGCGUGGGGAGCAAACCGG
rnacentral:rRNA from 1 species